rnacentral:sRNA from 1 species
AAAAAUAUCGUUACGGAUAAAAAUAAAUUUUUUAUAUUAAAGUUUUGGAAAUUUUUAAUAAAAUAAUUUGGAAUAAAUUAUAAAUUAUUAAUAACGUUCCAUUUCCAAGUAAAUAAAUAAAUAAAACGAACCAAUUAAAUAUUAAAAUAAUAUUUAAAAUAUUAUAUAAAUUACAAAUAAAAUAAUUGGGUAUAAUUAUUACCUAUAAGAUAAUUCGCCUAUAAUAAUUUAAAAAACAAAAAUAUCAAAAUAACCCCAUUUUACGCCAAUUAUAAAUUUAAUUUUACAAUUUAUAAAAAAUUAAAAACCAUAAUUACGGUAUUACAAACCGAUAAAUAAACAAAUGAAUUAUAAUAAUUAUAUAAAAAAUUCUAAUAAAAAUGAAAAUCUAUAUGAAAAAAAAUAAUAAAAUACGCCAAUUAAUAUCGGAUAAAAGAACCAUUUUUCGAAAAAAAAAUAACGUUUAUUUUAUUCGAUGUAAUAUUAAAAUAUAACAAUUUAAUAAUAAAUUCGAUUUUAAACAAUUUGGACCUUUUAAUAUUAAUAAAAAAAUUAACAAUACCAAUUAUAAAUUAUUAUUAUAAAUUUUAUAAAGAUUUACCCCAUAUUUUAUAUAUUAUUAUUAAAACCGGUAUUAUACGGUAUUAAUAUAUAAAAAAUGAUCGAAAUUAACGCAAAAUAAACCUAUAAUAUUAAGCAAAUAUUCGAUUAUAAACGAAAAUACGGCAGAAUAAAAUAUUUUAUUAAAUAAAAAAGUUAUAAAUAUAAAAAAAAUAUUUGGAAACUUUUUAAUUAUUUUUAAAAUUGUUAAAAACCGUUCCGUUAAUAUUAUUAAAAUUUGCAUUUGCGAAUAAAUUAAUUAAAGAAAAGGACAAUUUAAAAAAAUACCAUCUAUUAUUUUUAAAAAUUAAAAACCAACCAAAAUUCGAGAUUAUAUUAUUAAAUAAAUUUAUAAAAAAACAAUUAAUAUAUAAUAUAAAAUAAAAAACACCAAAAAAUAAUUUAUUAACGGAAUAUUGCGCAAAAAGACUUAUUUUAUCUAAUAACGAAAAAUUUAGAAAGUUUAUCAGGAAAAUUAAAUUCCAAAUAAAAUUAAAAUCCGGAAAAAAUAAUUUUAAAAAAAUUUUAAAAAAAUUUCGGUUAAUUACCAUUAUUUUUCCUAUUUUAUUUUUUUAUUUUUUACCCAAUUUAACUUUUCCAAAUUAUCGAUAUUAUAACGGACCGUUUUUAUUAUUUUUUUAAAUUAUAUUUUUUUUUAUUUACGCAAACGAAAAAUUUUUUCCUCCGCCGUUUCCAAUUUAAAUUCGAAUUUCGAAUAUUAAACCGCAAUUUUAUAUAAUUAUUUCCGCGAAAUACCUAUUAUAUUAUAUCGCGAGCGACCGAAACGGACGUAUUUAAUAUAACGAAAAAAGUCGCGAAACAAUAUAACGCAUUUUGCAAUUUUUUGCAAUUCGCAAAUAAAAUAAAAAAAUAUUUCGAUUAUUUAAAAAAAAAUACAAAAAACAAAUCGUUGCAAUAAACGAUGGAAAAACGACCGCAAAAUUUAUUAAUUUGAUUAAAUAUGGCGCAAAAGAAUUAAUAAAAAAGGAACGAAACCAAAAAUAAAAAUUAAAAAAAUACGAAUUAUUUAAAAACCAAAAGAAUUUAGUUAAAAAAAAGGAAAUUUAAUAUUACGACCAAAUAAUUGGACCGGUACUAAAAAAACCAAAUGAAAUUACAUUUUUUAACAAUAUUCGCCAAAACAAAUUACCGACCGGCGGGAAAAAAUUAUAUAAAGGGAAAAAAUACGUAAUAUUAUAUAAUUGCCAAAAAAAAUAUAAUUAAUAUAUCGCAUAUUAAUUAUAAUAAAACAAAUAAUAUAUCGGUUAUAAAAUAUAUUAAAUAUAUUACGUCUAAAAAUAUAAAUU